rnacentral:rRNA from 1 species
AAUUCAGUGAAUCAUCGAAUCUUUGAACGCACAUUGCGCCCAUUAGUAUUCUAGUGGGCAUGCCUGUUCGAGCGUCAUUUCAACCCUUAAGCCUAGCUUAGUGUUGGGAGACUGCCUAAUACGCAGCUCCUCAAAACCAGUGGCGGAGUCUGUUCGUGCUCUGAGCGUAGUAAUUUUUUAUCUCGCUUCUGCAAGCCGGCCAGACGACAGCCAUAAACCGCACCCUCUCGGGGGGCACUUUUUUAAUGGUUGACCUCGGAUCAGGUAGGAAUACCCGCUGAACUUAAGCAUAUCAAUAAGCGGAGGAAAAGAAACCAACAGGGAUUGCCCUAGUAACGGCGAGUGAAGCGGCAACAGCUCAAAUUUGAAAUCUGGCCUUCUGGGUCCGA